rnacentral:rRNA from 1 species
AGUGAACGCUGGCGGUAGGCCUAACACAUGCAAGUCGAACGGCAGCACAGUAAGAGCUUGCUCUUACGGGUGGCGAGUGGCGGACGGGUGAGGAAUACAUCGGAAUCUACUUUUUCGUGGGGGAUAACGUAGGGAAACUUACGCUAAUACCGCAUACGACCUACGGGUGAAAGCAGGGGAUCUUCGGACCUUGCGCGAUUGAAUGAGCCGAUGUCGGAUUAGCUAGUUGGCGGGGUAAAGGCCCACCAAGGCGACGAUCCGUAGCUGGUCUGAGAGGAUGAUCCGCCACACUGGAACUGAGACACGGUACAGACUCCUACGGGAGGCAGCAGUGGGGAAUAUUGGACAAAGGGGGAAAGCCUGAUCCAGCCAUACCGCGUGGGUGAAGAAGGCCUUCGGGUUGUAAAGCCCUUUUGUUGGGAAAGAAAAGCAGCAGGUUAAUACCCCGCUGUUCUGACGGUACCCAAAGAAUAAGCACCGGCUAACUUCGUG